rnacentral:rRNA from 1 species
AACGCGAAGAACCUUACCAGGGCUUGACAUAUAGCGAAAAGUGGCAGAGAUGUCAUGUCCGCAAGGGCGCUAUACAGGUUGUGCAUGGUUGUCGUCAGCUCGUGUCGUGAGAUGUUGGGUUAAGUCCCGCAACGAGCGCAACCCUCGUUCUGUGUUACCAGCAUUCAGUUGGGGACUCACAGGAGACUGCCGGGGUUAACUCGGAGGAAGGUGGGGAUGACGUCAAAUCAUCGUGCCCCUUAUGUCCUGGGCUGCACGCAUGCUACAAUGGCCGGUACAAAGUGCUGCGAAAUCGUAAGAUUUAGCGAAUCACAUAAAGCCGGUCUCAGUUCGGAUUGGGGUCUGCAACUCGACCUCAUGAAGUUGGAGUUGCUAGUAAUCGUAGAUCAGCAACGCUACGGUGAAUACGUUCCCGGGUCUUGUACACACCG